UACGUAGGGGGCAAGCGUUGUCCGGAUUUAUUGGGCGUAAAGAGCGUGUAGGCGGUUUGGUGGGUCCGCUGUGAAAACUCGAGGCUCAACCUCGAGACGCCGGUGGAAACCAUCAGACUAGAGUCCGGAAGAGGAGAGUGGAAUUCCUGGUGUAGCGGUGAAAUGCGCAGAUAUCAGGAAGAACACCCGUGGCUAAGGCGGCUCUCUAGGACGGUACUGACGCUGAGACGCGAAAGCGUGGGGAGCGAACAGG
rnacentral:rRNA from 1 species